AUGCAAUUGUCUUGUUCUGGUGGUGAUUUCUUUAAUCUGCAAAUUGAUAGGGAAUCUGGGAGUGGCGUGUCGUCUGUCCUGUGUGCACGUCGGCAUGUUCACCAGUCACCACCACCACUAGUAGGUGAAAGCCAGGGGAAAGAAGCUGCAAGAAUUAAUGGUUAAGAGACAUAGAUUGUUCAGAGAGAGGUAGAGACAGAGAGAGAGAGGAGCCGGAGGAGUAAAGACUAGGCGUGCAACCUCGUUAUGUGGUGUACUAACAGAGAUUUCAAAUAAAAGCUGCUGUGGGUUUGUUUCUUCUC